rnacentral:rRNA from 1 species
UACGAAGGGGGCUAGCGUUGCUCGGAAUCACUGGGCGUAAAGGGUGCGUAGGCGGGUCUUUAAGUCAGGGGUGAAAUCCUGGAGCUCAACUCCAGAACUGCCUUUGAUACUGAAGAUCUUGAGUUCGGGAGAGGUGAGUGGAACUGCGAGUGUAGAGGUGAAAUUCGUAGAUAUUCGCAAGAACACCAGUGGCGAAGGCGGCUUACUGGACACAUAUUGACGCUGAGGUGCGAAAGCGUGGGGAGCAAACAGG